rnacentral:lncRNA from 1 species
GGAGUGGUGGUCUGUGUGCCAUGCUCUGUCAUCUAUUCUUAAAGUUUUUAUAAGAACUUUUGGCAUUUUUUUCACAGAUUUUUUUUUUUUUUAGAUUUAGCUAGCCAGAGAAAAAUGGCGUUCCUUCUUUCAGAAGUUUUUGGAAUGUAAUGAUCCUUUACCACCACCCCAGCUCAUUGUCUUCAGCUUUGGCACAGGCUUCAACCGUGAGGAAAUGUCGUUCAGAUUUGGUCAACACCUCAUCAAGCCCUCUGUGGUUUUUCUCAAAACAGAACUGUCCUUUGCUCUUGUGAACAGGAAACCUGUGGUACCAGGACGAUUUACCUUUGAGCUUCAGGCCAUGCUGUGAGUGAAAGAGAUGGGCCGGUCUGACCAUGGUUAUGCAUUAAAGGAGGGAAAUAUAAAAUACAACUGGCUCUUUGAGUAGAGCUUUUAGAAAGUUCCUGCAUUCUCUCAGAAUUGCACAAAGCCUUUAGAAUCUCUUUCACAACAGGAAAAAGCUAUCUUUACAAUCUGCCUUUCUAUAGAAAAUAUAAAUCUGUUGAUGUGUGAGUGUGGAGAAGGACAGUUAGG